UACGUAGGGCGCGAGCGUUGUCCGGAAUUAUUGGGCGUAAAGGGCUCGUAGGCGGUUUGUCGCGUCGGGAGUGAAAUCCACUGGUUUAACUGGUGGCUUGCUUUCGAUACGGGCAGACUGGAGGUAUGCAGGGGAGAACGGAAUUCCUGGUGUAGCGGUGAAAUGCGCAGAUAUCAGGAGGAACGCCGGUGGCGAAGGCGGUUCUCUGGGCAUGUCCUGACGCUGAGGAGCGAAAGUGUGGGGAGCGAACAGG
rnacentral:rRNA from 1 species